AUACGGAGGGUGCAAGCGUUAAUCGGAAUUACUGGGCGUAAAGCGUGCGCAGGCGGUUUGUUAAGUCAGAUGUGAAAGCCCCGGGCUCAACCUGGGAACUGCAUUUGAAACUGGCAAACUAGAGUGUGGUAGAGGGAAGUGGAAUUCCUCAUGUAGCGGUGAAAUGCGUAGAUAUGAGGAGGAACACCAGUGGCGAAGGCGACUUCCUGGACCAACACUGACGCUCAUGUACGAAAGCGUGGGUAGCAAACAGGAUUAGAUACCCCAGUAGUCC
rnacentral:rRNA from 1 species